GACGAACGCUUGCGGCGUGCUUAACACAUGCAAGUCGAACGAAGUGGCGAACGGGUGAGUAACGCGUAAUCAACCUGCCCUUCAGAGGGGGACAACAGUUGGAAACGACUGCUAAUACCGCAUACUGAAGGAGGGGCUUGCGUCUGAUUAGCUAGUUGGAGGGGUAACGGCCCACCAAGGCGAUGAUCCGUAGACGGUCUGAGAGGAGUAACGGGCAAAUGGGGAAUGAGACACGGCCCAGACUCCGACGGGAGGCAGCAGUGGGGAAGCUUCCGCAAUGGAGGAAAGUCUGACGGAGCAACGCCGCGUGAGUGAUGACGGCCUUCGGGUUGUAAAGCUCUGUUAAUCGGGACGCGGUACCGGAAUAGAAAGCCACGGCUAACUACGUGCCAGCAGCCGCGGUAAUUC
rnacentral:rRNA from 1 species